GCCUCUAUGGCGCAGUGGUAACGGUGAGCGUUCAACUGUACCUUUUUCAAAAGUUCAGGCUGAUUCUGUGCAGCGUCGCACUUGUAAUGCGAAGAUCACAAGUUCAAUUCUUGUUGGAGGCA
rnacentral:tRNA from 1 species